UAAUUCUGUUAUUCUUCUAUACCGUGGUUAGCUUACUUUUCAUUCGAGCUUCCAACUUUUAAUUAGAAUAACACGUUUCAAGGUAGCUCUACGUCGAUUUAGAGCGAGCACACGCCUACCAGAAGCGUCGUUCGAAUAGGUUACACGCGCUCCAUCGUUGGGCCGAGCAUUUACUCGCCACUUUCAUGGAACCUCCACAAUUUACGGUCUAUCUCACGAGAAAACGUAUAGAGAUACAACGUCGCAUUGUGACCGCAUAACGCGGCCCCCCUGGCACGGGUUCCUCUUUCAGCUCGUGGCGCACGCGCUCGGCAACCUCGUGGCUGCACUCGACGCACUUAGUCUACGUCGUUAGCUGCGCCAUUAGCUUGCAUCCAAGCCUUCCCGUUCGUAGUAGUGUGGGCUGUACGUGAGCGUGGACUAUUGCACACAGCCGAACGUGCUUUGCGAGCCACCCGAGCGGUAGCGUGUCACGUGACACGGUCUCGCGGGUAUAUAAAGGCGGCGGACGGCUAGUAGAAUCAGCCAUUCGCGCACUGGCUCCGAAGUAAGCGCCACGACGCGCCUUCGACUCCCACCGGAGACAACGAUACAGGCUCGGUGGUAACUGACCUCGUGGCAGCGGGCAGGAAACCAUUCAGGAAAUGGUUCGAAAAAAAAAAAAAGAGGGAAAUCCCUCAGGCGCCACUCGGCCGAGUGAGAAAAGUGAGAACGGAGCUCUCGGGGCACGUGAACAUGGCUAGCGUACUCGAGAUAAGGCUCGCGUGCGAAUCGAUUACGGUCGGUCAUCGGUUUCGAUGACUGGCAAAGAGAAAUGACGUAGCCCAACCCACCGACUGCAUCGUCAUAGAUAAACGGGCGGCACGCACGCGCAGAACGUUGCCCUCGCAGGAACGAAGAGUUUCGAGGGGGCCACGCGUGCCCGAAGACGCGCAUGCCGCUAGGAUCAUUCAAGAAGCGAUUCGGGUUAACCCGCACGCGACGAAUGUUCCGGGGGAAUCUGGACAAGGCGCUUGCAGGCUGCUGGAAUAGCAAGGAAUGGUGGUAUUAUAUAGAGAUGGAGAGAUUGCGAGUGCUCGAACUCGAUGAUUUCAGAAGUUACUCGACCGAUUCGGAUGGGACUUUCAUUCCUGGGUUCCUUGGAAAUCUCAGUGUUGUAGGACUAGUUUCGUCACGGUAUCUCCAUUUGGAGACUCAACCGUGAACGGAACUGUCGACGAGCCGUAGAAAGGAUACACCCUGUCUAAUUGGAACUGUAUUUACUUGCAAAUAAUUGAUUUCUCUCUAUCCGACACUUUGUCCGUUAAUUUAUUAGAGACUGCAAGGACAUUAGAACGGUUAAAAACGGAUUCAAAGCAUUUAACUUAACAAGCAUUCGUAUAAUACAACUCUCAGGCCCAGAUUGUUCUCCAUUCUCUAAAACUAUAUUAGAUCAGGCCUGGUUGUCACGCUCUCUCCUAAACACGUGAGUCUCUCUUCUAGCUCAACCGCACACGCUGACUAAUCUGUUACAGAUAUGUCGAAAUUACUCGCUCCGCUCAACAAGUAAAUUCCGCCUUUACGCUGGCACGAAUUGUCAAGAAAAAACCUCCUCGAACCAGGAGAAAAACAUGUCUCGCGGCCCAAGGAGACCCACAGGGGUGGGACGAGGUUUACGUGUCCCGAGUGACAAAGCAGCGAGGCCGGCCAUCUAUAGUAAUUUAGUAUAAAUGUAUGCUGAUUGCAGAUCACUUAUCCAGGACAACGCUAGUUGGGUUGGGUUGGCAGUUUUUCGUGGGAGGAAUUUGACCGAGACCGAAGAACACAAAAUAAUGUUUCUACUAUUCCUCGGCUGACUAACAAAGCCACUCAUUUGUUUGGGGGUUUCAACUGCUCCAGACGAAGAGGUUUAACGACUCAAACUUUUAGUGACUAGGUAUACAUGUUGAGACACGUGAGACUUGAAAGUACCAUGUUCUGAGACCAAUGAACACAAAAUAAUUUUUCUAAUAUUUUCUUGACGACUAACCAAGCCACUCAUUUGUUUGGGGGUUUCAACUGCUCCAGACGAAGAGGUUUAACGACUCAAAGUGAGCACUUGAACUUUUAUAAAUUUUGUUGGGUUGUGCAUACACUAAGACAUUUGAUGGGAGGAGAUUAACUCUAGCUUUUAGUGACUAGGUAUACAUGUUGAGACACAUGAGACACGUGAGACUUGAAAGUACCAUGUUCUGAGACCAAUGAACGCAAAAUAAUUUUCUUGACGACUAACAAAGCCACUCAUUUGUUUGGGGGUUUCAACUGCUCCAGAUGAAAAGAUUCAUCCACUAAAGGUGAGCAAAGGCAACCAAGAACCUGGUCACCCAUCAGACCACCUAACCAAUCGCCUACAGGAUGGGCAGUGGGUUUAGACUGGUUUCGGGGUUCUUCGUAAUUAGAACGAGACCCGGCAGCCUGUCGAGGAUUAUAUAGAACGACCUGUUCGGAUACUACGGAGGCGGAAAGAUCCACCACGAUCGAGAUCUGACUUUAUGCGCAUACAUUUGUCGCGUCUGGUGGCACACGGGCGAGUCCCUCCGGAAUUCGUGACGAGAGGCGACACACGAACGCGACGCGUGUGGUAGCCACAGCCGUGCAUCAUCGGUUCCAAGGCUCCCCGGAGCACUGCCACUCGAGGAUUUCAACUUCUUUUUGCCGUCGUUCAAGGCGAACCCGCGUGGAAAAAACCUCCCGCGUGCAACGACGUAGACGCGAGCCACGGGACGGAAAAUGUACUGACCCACUGACUCAUGGGGGAUUUCCGGCGUUAGCGUGCAAUUGCUACGUGCUUGGUAGCCGCAACGCUCGUACGUCAUCGUUCCCGCGACGUCCUUAGAUGUUGCCUUCCAUUUGGUGAUCCGUGAAUGGAACUCUAAACAAUUCGCAGCAGGCACGACGUUUAGUCAUCGUGAUCAGGUCUGGGUUAAGGCGCCGAGCUCCGGGGGCAAUAGGAAGCUGCAGAAACAUGGAGAGCUGGGGGAGGGAAAUUGUAUGCAAGGUUACUUCGUUUACGAAUGCUGGAUCGAAGUACUCCGAAUUGUUUGAUGCGUUGACCGUCACAGGUGACAGGACUUAUGGAGCUAAAACAGUGGUCAGGGUGAGAUGUUGAAGACGAUAUGUUUCGAUGGGGUUUAUCGAACCAUAAACGAUCUAGCAUAUCGACUGCCAUGUCAUGGACAUGGUUGCGUAGAACCUAUAUUUUGACUUCGUAGAAAAUGGUCAGAAAUGAAAAAGAAGGUAUAUCACUCGCUUGCUCGAAGAAUCGAUGGUACACAGUUCAGAGUCUAGCUGUAUUACGUUACGUAGACGUGAAGACGUGUCGGAGGGGAGGGCUAUACGAGACAGUGUUAUUUAACGUUUCAAGAAUUUCUGGGAAGAAGGAAGUUGGGUACGAAGAUUCGGGCGAAGGUACGCUUAUAAUUAGCCGAUCGACUGAGUCAGCUGCACUGCUUUGAAGUUCGGUUAGCGAGCAUUUACAUUAGCUCGAGUAGUUCUACUUGAAAUAUAUAAAGCCCUCGUGUAACACGAUUUCGUGCAACACAGACUUACUAUCCGCAUUCCUUGACAAAAACUUUCAUGAUUUUUAUCAACAUAUAAAUUUCCUUAUCGGUCCCUGAAAGCCGCUCAGAGACACGUGCACUUUCGCGUCUUCUUCAACACGUUAAUUCCCAGACUAAUACUCUUGAGAAUAUCUACUGUGGUUAAAUUUUCUUUACAGACUACUGGAAACUACAUAACCCUUUAUCGUGGUAUUUAUUUUCGUAUCGUUUUAAAAAUUCAAGAAUUUCAUUAAAAUUCAUUUUCGUUGCUUUGAAAAGCACUGUACCCAUGCAUGGGUAACGCGGCGGUCAACGCGUAAACGCGGUCUUGCAUCGAGGAUACCAUAAACGCGAGGACCAGUGGGAGCCCGAGUUGCCCUCGAAGAGAUUUCCCGAAGGCGAACGGUGCGAAAGUUAAUCGCGACCUAGACAUCACCGACCACUCGAGACGUCUAAAUUUACACAACGGACGCAUUGUAUCCGCGUUUCUGAGGAGCCCGAAUAGCACAGGCGAACGGUGGAACGCUCAAACGAAGAAACGAUCGGGACGAUUUCGCGACCGCCCCGGCGCGAGUCUGCUAAUAAAAGACGUUGCGCAAUCGUGGACGUUGGUGUUGCGCCGCGGAUAAUAAUAAGAACGUUACAGCCAGCGGGCACACUGGCUGCUAAGAUGACAGGGGGGGUGGGAAGGCAGCAGGGGGUCUCGAUAUCGUCGAAGAAUCGCUGUGUGCACACGCGAAUGCACAAACGUAAUAAUUUGUCGCGGUCGAGUCGUCGCGAGUCGCUAUUGGCCGCGCACCGGUGCAUUGGUGCAUUGGUGGAACGAAAUCGAGGAGAAACUCUCUCAGGCUGAACCGCCGCGCUAUUUACGGGGUUCCUUAGCGAACGAGUUAGUGGGUCGACACCCGGAGGACUCUGGAAAACGUACACUGUCGCGACGAUUAACACUUUCGACCCUAAUAGGACUUACAGUCAGUCGCAUAAAUAUUCCUCUAUGUCUACUGAAGAAAUUUGUCUAAAUUAAAUGAUAGGUUCGAUGUGCCCAAACAAGCAUUCGUUAUAAACAUUUAUUUGGAAAUAUUAAACUUACCAUUUAAUUUAAACAAAUUUCUUCAAUAGACAUAGAGGGUACGAAUUCUUAUGAGACUGACUGCAUAUGUCUGAGGGAAUAUCUCUGGGUGCCAAUUAAAAUUGAGACCUAUAAGGAAAUUCUCUAAUGACUCCAAUUAUAUUGAGCUGUCUGGAAAGUCCAUGGCGAUUUUUAGUAGGCGGUACAGGUCUGAAUAUAUCGGAAUGGCUGAAAACAAAUAAAAUGUGUACGUUCUUUAACAGUUGGACAGGUCGCGGAACAAAAUGGUACAUAUAUAAUUCAAUAAAUGUACAUCAAAAUUCAAAUAUGCCUUUGAAUUUUUCUUAAAAAUAGGCACGAACUUUCUGGACAAUCUAAUAAAUGUAAGAACACAGAGGCAUAGAAUCAACUACUGCACCUAAUAACAAUAUAAAACAAAAAAAUCCUUAUCUAACUCGUCUCAGAGUAAAUUUAACGACCGCUAACGAAACUAUACUUCUCCCAAAAAAUUUGUUAGAUAUGUGGGUGGCAUCUCCUGUCCUCGCCACUAGAGGGACAUCGCGCGUUUGCGCGAUUCUCACAAGUGAAAUGCUCUGUCUGCCUAACGUUCGUAUAUAAGCCAAUCCGACCGACCUCCAAAUAUCCUGGCGUCUAAGGCACGGGCCUCCUAGUUAGUCUUAUUGACGAGUCCAUUGACAAGACCAGGUCGAAACGCUCCCUUUUCUCCCUUAAGAGACACCGCCACCCCAGAUAAUUUUGUCUCGAUCUGCAGGCAAUUCUACGACAAACUCACUUGGCAAUGCUUCUCGGUGUUAAUGUCGACCCUGAACAAUUCGCGAAACGAGCCGUGGAUGCAUCGCUGGGCGCCGGUGUUCACGCGUUCAUGCGCGCAUAGGUCGUUUGAAAAGAGGGAUAGAGGAGGGGGGAGACAAGUUAAAAGAGAGAGAGGGAAAACCGCGAGAUAGAAGCGCAUGGACGGAGGUACGGUGCCAAGGUAAAGAAAGUGAAUUUCCGUUUUCUCGGCGUUCCCUAGAAGGCCCCGGCGAGCCGGAAGUAAUUACGAUCGGAUUUCUCGCGGCGAAGACUCCGCUUUUGCCACACGAACGAGAACCCCGUAUUGUAGCGGGAAAACCGUAUAUACAGGUUACAAUCAAUCACGGCUAACGACUGCCGGGAAGUCGUUCUUCGAUAUGCCUCCACGCGCCGGUAUCUCCGUCUCAUCUGUCCCUCUACCCCCAGCGACCUUUCCUUUCUACUGGGAAAAUCGCACCGCGUGUCACGAGUGCGGGAAAGCCGUACCGCGAACGUUCGAGAGUGUCGCAGAACCUGCGGAUGUUCUCGAGUUAAUCUCCAUUAUAAUGGAUAUCAUUCAAAAAUGCUCGUUUUUGUAAAUUUCUGAUGAUUUCUUCAACUCUGAGGUGGAGUAAACCGUUCAACAAUUCCGUCUGCUCGCUGUUUACGAGUAAAGUUAAAGUAAAAUCUCCUUAAAUGCACACAUUUCUCUACGAUAAAUGCACAGGUCCCCACCACUGGCGGGUAUAGCCCUUGAGGUGUCCAGGAGUUCGAUCGCCGAGUAGUCUAACAUGAUCCAGAAUCAGAUACCUCACUGGGACAAUGCUAAUGGCGACGAUAAAACUUUUUUUUAUUAUCCUGGUGUUUUUGCUCCGUUUUCAUUAUUCGCUGUCUUUCAUUCAUAUUCGAAGCUCCUCGACCCGAGCUUAUGAAUUUAACAAGACUUGGUCUGUAUAGACUUGGUAAAUACUACUGUAUUUACAAGUUCACAGAUCCACAUUUUGAACCCAUACCUGCAGAUGCAUUUUCUAGCCGUCGAAAUUGUUUGAUUUUGAUCACAGCCGCGGCGAACAUGUCAAACACAGAUCGAACGGUUGUUUAUGCUAAUGUUGUAACGCUGUUGCCGUGCGAGCCGUCGAUUACGUAGUUUGCGUAAACGUUCGCGGUAAAUGUUCCGAGAUAAACGCGGACAACGGGGCGUAUUUGAAGCCUCGCGUUUUAUCCGCGCUUACACGUAUCGCAAUCGUUUCGAACGUAAUUUCGCGUCGUUUCUUGUGCCGGUAAAACUUUCGACUUGCAUGCUUCGGGAGCGAAGUGUAAUAUCGUCCAUUCCGGACGGUGCGGCACGUGAAAGUGUACAGUCUGUCCCCUGUUGUGUACCCGGAGCCGUUUCGAGGUGGCAGGGGAGAAAAACACGUGGAUCUUAUUAAAUAAUUUUAACACCGCUUUACGUCGAGCGACGAAAAACGAUCUUUUGCAACCGAAUGGAACACUUGCACGUAAAACUUGCUCCCCGUCCUUUUCCCAGACCGUUCUCCGUCUCGUUCCAUCCUCCUGCGACUCCCACCUUCUUCGUCAACAUAAUGUUCAGCUUGGCAAACAGCGACAGGCACGAGCAUACGAAGGACGCACCCACAUAGAUAACAAACUCGUUUGCACCGAUACGUACUUACACGCCUGCAACUGAGUCAAAAGACGUUGAACGUACGUUAACACACACACUCUCUCUCUCUCUUUCUUUCUUUUUCUCUCUCUCUCUUUCUUUCUUUUUCUCUCUCUCUCUCUCUCUCUCUCUCUCCUCUUCUGUCUCUUUCCCCGCUGAUUGGAUAGACGGAGACGAUAAUAACGACCGCUCGACAGCUCGAGUCGAUCGUUUUCAUCGAAUGCUUUGGAUCAGAUGCAUCACUCGACUGUUGGGUUUAUUCUCUCGUACUUUUGCACAUAGUGGGUCACGAAAGUAUUCGUACAUGAUGUAAUUUUAUUAAUGUUUCAAUGGCACUACAGAAAAUGUGGUGUUGAAUAUUAAUGGGAAAUAAAAUGGACAAAAAUAUUACAACGAAAUAUAAUGGAUACAAAUAUUAGGUUGUCCGAAGAGUUUCUUUCGUGAGUUGCAUUCAAUUAUUUUCUGUGGCAGUGUUUAUAUAAAUAGACAAUCUAAUUUCUUAGGCAUCGAUGCUGUAACAGUAAUGAAGCGAAAUGAAUCGUAUACAAUUCAGUAAUGUAACACAAGACAUAAAAUAUUGUGUAUAUAUUAAUUAUUAAUACAACGAAAGAAACUUUCGUGACAACCUAAUAUAUUUCAUUCUCGAAGAAAGUUAUUCAUAAUAAAUAUAUCUAAUUGGCAAUUAUUCAAAGAAUAAUAUUUUAUAUCAAAAUAUAGAUUGUACAUGUAGCAGUACAAAAUAAAAGUGCAUUAAAGGUUGAGCGUAGGUUACCAAGUUUUGAUAACAGACUUAA